rnacentral:rRNA from 1 species
AUUGAACGCUGGCGGCAUGCCUUACACAUGCAAGUCGAACGGCAGCACGGGUGCUUGCACCUGGUGGCGAGUGGCGAACGGGUGAGUAAUAUAUCGGAACGUACCUUAUUGUGGGGGAUAACGCAGCGAAAGCUGUGCUAAUACCGCAUAAUCCCUAAGGGGGAAAGCGGGGGACCGUAAGGCCUCGCGCAAUUAGAGCGGCCGAUACCUGAUUCGCUAGUUGGUGAGGUAAAGGCUCACCAAGGCAACGAUCAGUAGCUGGUCUGAGAGGACGAUCAGCCCCACUGGGACUGAGACACGGCCCAGACUCCUACGGGAGGCAGCAGUGGGGAAUUUUGGACAAUGGGGGCAACCCUGAUCCAGCAAUGCCGCGUGAGUGAAGAAGGCCUUCGGGUUGUAAAGCUCUUUUGUCAGGGAAGAAACAGCAGCUCUAACACAGUUUGCGAAUGACGGUACCUGAAGAAUAAGCACCGGCUAACUACGUGCCAGCCGCCGCGGUAA